GCGGACAGACUCCAGAGGCGCUGCUGCGGCCAGGAGGGAGCGCGGCGGCCAGGGCAGCUCGUGGGCCGGAUCCCCGGGCCACACUACCCGGCUGUGCUGCGGAGACUUCCGACCGAUGCUCGGGACCGUGCGGACCGCGCCGCAGUCUUAAUUUCUUCUGGAGCUGAGCUUGCCCACUGGGUGUACACUUGGCUGAAUUAUAAUAUAGUCAGACCAAGAAAUUUCUUGUCUCACUUGAGAGCCCUGGAAGAGAAAUUUGGCUUUGAAUUCUGCCACCACUUCCCUGGAGAGACAAAGACCAGUGAAAGGAGAACAGGCAGGAACACCACAGGUGGCAGUCUCCGGGAUGAGGAUUCAGCAGAGCUUAGCUGAGAAUAGCUGUGACCAGCGUUCCCUGGAGCUGGGCAACAAGAGAUGGAGAGGUGAUAAGGCUCGAGGGGCAGGGACACAGGUGAGGAGCAAGUUUCAUUUCUACAAAUGAAAGGCAAAUGGGGAAAUGUUUUUUUUCCUUCUGUCAUGUACCUGGGGGAAUGAAGCUCUGUGUUUUUCUAGACAAGUCUACCUUGGGCUACCUUCAUUGGAGGACCAGGCACUAAGCUUGAAAUUUGUGGCAUGGAGUUAUAUUUUCCUCUCUUCCUUAUUGGUCUUGGUGUAGAAAGUGCUGGCAGGAGCUUCUGAAGUGAAAUCCAUGUUCUUAAAGUGAUGCUGAUAAGUUAGAGUCCCACACUCUUAUGUCACCAUGGACUUCUUUGGAUAUGACUUCCAUAUGGCAUUGAAGUUGGUGAUCCCUCUGGUCACACUGCUGCCCCUAUUGACUGAAGUGGAUACACUAGCACUGCUACACCUUGGCCAAUGACUGUAGCUGCAGUGUCCCCUGUUCAUGUGCCUUCGAGCACUCCUGCAGGCAGGUUGCCCCUCAGCUGCACAGACUGUGUAGUACACGCUGCAUGGGCACUGCUCACAUAAGUGACCCUGUGAAUGGGGCCUCAAGUUCUCCAGCAUGGUAUCUCUGCUUCCCGUACCUUCUCCCACUGUUUAUUUUCAGGCCAACUAGUGUCUCACAUCAGGCUGGCCUGCUGUUUCCUGUCUCAGACCAAAGCUCACACCACUACUUCCUUUCCCCCCAAAUUUCUAAGGUCUCCCCCUUCCUUCCACUUUUACUUCCUCAGUGCCAUCACCACAAGCGUGAAAUCAGCAAGCUCUCUCUCUUUACCAAGCUAACUACUGUGCACAUCCCUUAUUAGCAGAAAUAGCAGUGGUGCUAGAGACGCCUGACUGUGACUGUGCACAGUUAAACUCCCCAUGCUAAAGGCCUUACAUGCAGUAUCUCUUUUCAUCUUACAGGAAUCCCUAAGGUAGUUCUCUCAAAUGACAAUCGGGCUUAAAGAUACCCCAUGAUUAUGGUUAACAAUGGAGGAACUUGGCCUGCAGCCUGAAGAGCUUGUGCUCAGAAUGAGAGAAUGCUGUGCAUCCUCCUAAGAUUCGGGUUGGAUACAGAGUCUUCUGUGGAUCUUCCCUGGGCUCCCCACACCUGAGACCUUUGGUCAGUUUUCAUAGAAACCUGCAUUGUUGUUCAAGGUCAAGGCCUGACUGACAGAGGUGUGGAGAGAGACCUGUGUUCUUUGCUUUUUCUGAGGCUUCCAGUAUAUUAAAAAAACUGCAGCCAGGUGCUGGUAUCUCACACUUGGAAUCCUAGCUAUUUGGGAGGCUGAGAUCAGGAAGAUCAUGGUUCUAGGCCAGCCUGGGCAAAUAGUUUGCAAGAGCCCUUCUCCUGUGUUUACUGGUGUCUGUGGCAGCACUUUUUUUUUUCAGCUCUGGGAUUCAUGGAGUCUAAUAGAGAAAAGCCCUAUUUCAAGCUGUUCUGUUUCCAAGAAACCUGGUUUACAGUGGUGUAGACCUCUGGCUCCUGCAUACGCCUGUACUGAAGAGUGGGACACAGAAGCACACCCUCACUGGGGUGCCCUGGUGUUUUCUGAGCAAAUUGACCCUGAGGGUCCUAGACCUUGAAUGGAACUCCAUAGGACUGCAUCCAUACUGCUCCAGGCAUGUGAAGACAUCUGGCCACUUCUCCCUAAAUAAACAUAUCCAUUCUGUAUAACAGUGAUUUCUCAAUUUGUCUCUCCAGCCCAGAGCUCCAAACUUUCAUAUUCAAGUCCCUAGUAGACAUUUCUCUUUGGAUGUCUAAUAAACAUCUUAGGUAUAUCAUAUUUAAAAAGAAAUGCUAAGCUGGGCAAAGGUGGCGCACAUCUGUGAUCCCAGCUUUUGGGAGGCUAAGGCAAGAGGAUCAUGAGUUUGAGGCCAGCCUGAGUUAUAUAGCAAGACCCUGUCUCAAAAAGAAAGGAGAGGGAGAGAGACAAACACUGAGACUUAGGACUUAGCUCACCUCAGCCCCAGUCAGUGGAACUAUCACCCAUGCAGUCCUUAAGCAGAAUCCCAUGAGUCACGUCACUUUCUCACCUUUGAAUUGUGUCCCAUAUGGUAUCCAUAGGUAAGUCCUAUAGGCUCUGCUUCCACAAUAUAUCUCACACAACAUCCCUUUCUCUCCAUCUCCAUUGCCUCAUCCAGAUUACAGCCACCAUUAACUUUUUUCCCCUAUAGAGGACCUAAACUACUUCAUUCUCAAUGUGUCUACUAUUUUAAGUUAAAAUAGUAAGAGAUUUUUUUUAAUGUUUUAAAGGUCACAAAACAAU